rnacentral:rRNA from 1 species
ACGAACGCUGGCGGCGUGCUUAACACAUGCAAGUCGAGCGGAAAGGCCACUUCGGUGGUACUCGAGCGGCGAACGGGUGAGUAACACGUGAGUAAUCUGCCCUUGGCUUUGGGAUAGCCACCGGAAACGGUGAUUAAUACCGAAUAUGACCACUUCGCGCAUGUGAUGGUGGUGGAAAGUUUUUCGGCCAGGGAUGUGCUCGCGGCCUAUCAGCUUGAUGGUGAGGUAAUGGCUCACCAUGGCUUCGACGGGUAGCCGGCCUGAGAGGGUGACCGGUCACACUGGGACUGAGACACGGCCCAGACUCCUACGGGAGGCAGCAGUGGGGAAUAUUGGACAAUGGGCGGAAGCCUGAUCCAGCAACGCCGCGUGAGGGAUGACGGCCUUCGGGUUGUAAACCUCUUUCGGUGGGGACGAAGCGCAAGUGACGGUACCCACUAAAGAAGCACCGGCCAACUACGU